rnacentral:rRNA from 1 species
UGGGGAUUAUUGGACAAUGGGCGCAAGCCUGAUCCAGCCAUGCCGCGUGAGUGAUGAAGGCUCUAGGGUUGUAAAGCUCUUUCACCGGUGAAGAUAAUGACGGUAACCGGAGAAGAAGCCCCGGCUAACUUCGUGCCAGCAGCCGCGGUAAUACUAAGGGGGCUAGCGUUGUUCGGAUUUACUGGGCGUAAAGCGCACGUAGGCGGACUAUUAAGUCAGGGGUGGAAUCCCGGGGCUCAACCCCGGAACUGCCUUUGAUACUGGUAGUCUUGAGUUCGAGAGAGGUGAGUGGAAUUCCGAGUGUAGAAGUGAAAUGCGUAGAUAUUCGGAGGAACACCCGUGGCGAAGGCGGCUCACUGGCUCGAUACUGACGCUGAGGUGCGAAAGCGUGGGGAGCAAACAGG